rnacentral:tRNA from 1 species
GGUUGUGGCUUAGCGGUAGAGUGCUCGCCUAGCACGCAUGAGACAUUGGGUUUGAUCCUCAGCACCA